ensembl:misc_RNA Metazoa_SRP Metazoan signal recognition particle RNA
GCCGGGCAUGGUGGCGGGUGCCUGUAGUCCCAGCUACUCCGGAGGCUGAGGCAGGAGGAUCGCUUGAACUCGGGAGAUUGAGGUUGCAGUGAGCCGAGAUCGCGCCACUGCACUCUAGCCUGGGUGACAAAGUGAGACUCCAUCUCAA